GACGAACGCUGGCGGCGUGCUUAACACAUGCAAGUCGAACGGGCCCGCUCUCUUUUUUGGGGUGGGUUGAGUGGCGAAAGGGUGAGUAUCAAGGGAGUAACCUGCCCCCUGCUCCUGGAUAACUGCUUGAAAGGGCGGCUAAUAAGGGGUGUGCCGGCUGGUCCGCAUGGGCCUGGUCGGGAUAGUUUCAUCUUCGGGUGUUUCGGUGGGGGAUGGGCUCGCGGCCUAUCAGCUUGUUGGUGGGGUGAUGGCCCACCAAGGCGGUGACGGGUAGCCGGCCUGAGAGGGUGGGCGGCCACACUGGGACUGAGACACGGCCCAGACUCCUGCGGGAGGCAGCAGUGGGGGGUAUUGCACAAUGGGCGGAAGCCUGAUGCAGCGACGUCGCGUGAGGGAUGGAGGCCUUCGGGUUGUGAACCUCUUUCUCCGGUGGUGAAGGCCCUGUCCGUUGCGGCGGGGUUGACGGUAGCCGGGUAUGAAGCGCCGGCUAACUACGUG
rnacentral:rRNA from 1 species